rnacentral:rRNA from 1 species
GCGGCCUAUCAGCUUGUUGGUGAGGUAACGGCUCACCAAGGCUAAGACGGGUAGCUGGUCUGAGAGGACGACCAGCCACACUGGAACUGAGACACGGUCCAGACACCUACGGGUGGCAGCAGUCGAGAAUUUUUCACAAUGGGCGAAAGCCUGAUGGAGCGACGCCGCGUGGGGGAUGAAUGGCUUCGGCCCGUAAACCCCUGUCAUUUGCGAACAAACCUCGUUAUUUAAAAGAUGACGAGUUGAUAGUAGCGAAAGAGGAAGGGACGGCUAACUCUGUGCCAGCAGCCGCGGUAAUACAGAGGUCCCAAGCGUUGUUCGGAUUCACUGGGCGUAAAGGGUGCGUAGGUGGUCGGGUAAGUCUGAUGUGUAAUCUCCAAGCUCAACUUGGAAACGGCAUCGGAUACUAUUCGGCUUGAGGGUUGGAGGGGAGACUGGAAUUCCU